CCUACGGGAGGCAGCAGUGGGGCAUAUUGCGCAAUGGGCGAAAGCCUGACGCAGCGACGCCGCGUGAGGGAUGAAGGUCUUCGGAUCGUAAACCUCUGUCAGCAGGGAAGAACGGUCACUGUGCUAAUCAGCAGUGACUUGACGGUACCUGCAAAGGAAGCACCGGCUAACUCCGUGCCAUCAGCCGCGGUAAUACGGAGGGUGCGAGCGUUAAUCGGAAUUACUGGGCGUAAAGCGCUCGUAGGCGGUAUGUCAAGUCAAGGGUGAAAUCCCCGCGCUCAACGUGGGAACUGCCUUUGAAACUGGCAAACUGGAGUGUGUGAGAGGAUAGUGGAAUUCCAGGUGUAGGAGUGAAAUCCGUAGAUAUCUGGAGGAACAUCAGUGGCGAAGGCGACUAUCUGGCACAUAACUGACGCUGAGGAGCGAAAGCGUGGGUAGCAAACAGGAUUAGAUACCCCUGUAGUC
rnacentral:rRNA from 1 species